GAUGAACGCUGGCGGCGUGCCUAAUACAUGCGAGUCGAGCGAACAGACGAGGAGCUUGCUCCUCUGACGUUAGCGGCGGACGGGUGAGUAACACGUGGAUAACCUACCUAUAAGACUGGGAUAACUUCGGGAAACCGGAGCUAAUACCGGAUAAUAUGUUGAAUCGCAUGGUUCAACAGUGAAAGACGGUCUUGCUGUCACUUAUAGAUGGAUCCGCGCCGCAUUAGCUAGUUGGUAAGGUAACGGCUUACCAAGGCAACGAUGCGUAGCCGACCUGAGAGGGUGAUCGGCCACACUGGAACUGAGACACGGUCCAGACUCCUACGGGAGGCAGCAGUAGGGAAUCUUCCGCAAUGGGCGAAAGCCUGACGGAGCAACGCCGCGUGAGUGAAGAAGGUCUUCGGAUCGUAAAACUCUGUUAUUAGGGAAGAACAAAUGUGUAAGUAACUAUGCACGUCUUGACGGUACCUAAUCAGAAAGCCACGGCUAACUACGUG
rnacentral:rRNA from 1 species